rnacentral:rRNA from 1 species
GAAAAGCCGCUAUAGAUCAUAUCGUACCCGUACCGUAAACCGACACAGGUAGAUGAGGAGAGAAUCCUAAGGCCGACGGGAGAAGCAUUGUUAUGGAACUCGGCAAAAUGACCCCGUAACUUCGGGAGAAGGGGUGCCCACGCGAGUGGGCCGCAGAGAAUAGGCUCAAGCAACUGUUUAGCAAAAACACAGGUCUAUGCGAAACCGAAAGGUGAGGUAUAUGGGCUGACGCCUGCCCGGUGCUGGAAGGUUAAGAGGAGGAGUCAGGCAACGAAGCUCCGAAUUUAAGCCCCAGUAAACGGCGGCCGUAACAAUAACGGUCCUAAGGUAGCGAAAUUCCUUGUCGGGUAAGUUCCGACCCGCACGAAAGGCGUAAUGAUUUGAGCACUGUCUCGACAAUGCACCCGGUGAAAUUGAAGUACCAGUGAAGAUGCUGGUUACCUGCGCCAGGACGGAAAGACCCCAUGGAGCUUUACUCCAGUUUGAUACUGGGAUUCGAUACUGAAUGUACAGGAUAGGUGGGAGGCUGAGAAGCGUGGACGCCAGUCUGCGGUGAGCCGCUGUUGGGAUACCACCCUUUGAGUAUUGGAUUUCUAACCUGCGCCCGUGACCCGGGCGGGGGACAAUGUCUGACGGGGAGUUUGACUGGGGCGGUCGCCUCCGAAAGGGUAUCGGAGGCGCUCAAGGUUCCCUCAGAAUGGUUGGAAACCAUUCGCAGAGUGCAAAGGCAGAAGGGAGCUUGACUGUGACACCGACGGGUGGAGCAGGUACGAAAGUAGGACUUAGUGAUCCGGUGGUAUGAAAGUGGGAUUGCCAUCGCUCAACGGAUAAAAGCUACCCUGGGAUAACAGGCUUAUCACUCCCAAGAGUUCACAUCGACGGAGUGGUUUGGCACCUCGAUGUCGGCUCAUCGCAUCCUGGGGCUGUAGCAGGUCCCAAGGGUUGGGCUGUUCGCCCAUUAAAGCGGUACGCGAGCUGGGUUCAGAACGUCGUGAGACAGUUCGGUCCCUAUCCGGCGCAGGCGUAGGAUAUUUGAGAGGAGCUGUCCUUAGUACGAGAGGACCGGGAUGGACAGACCGCUGGUGUAUCUGUUGGUGACCAACACUAUGGCAGAGUAGCCAAGUCUGGCAGGGAUAAACGCUGAAGGCAUCUAAGCGUGAAGCCCCCCUCAAGAUGAGAUAUCCCAAUAAGUAAGACCCCUUAGAGAGUAUGAGGUAGAUAGGCUUAAGAUGUAAGCAUAGUAAUAUGUUCAGCUGAUAAGUACUAAUAGGUCGAGGGCUUAUCUA